rnacentral:rRNA from 1 species
UACGGAGGGUGCGAGCGUUGUCCGGAAUCACUGGGCGUAAAGGGCGCGUAGGCGGCCUGAUAAGUAGGGGGUGAAAUCCUGCGGCUUAACCGCAGGGCUGCCUUCUAAACUGUCAGGCUAGAGCACAGUAGAGGCAGGUGGAAUUCCCGGUGUAGCGGUGGAAUGCGCAGAUAUCAGGAAGAACACCAACGGCGAAGGCAGCUCGCUGGGACGGUACUGACGCUGAGACGCGAAAGCGUGGGGAGCGAACAGG